CCUACGGGUGGCAGCAGUGGGGGAUAUUGCACAAUGGGGGGAACCCUGAUGCAGCGACGCCGCGUGGGUGAAGAAGCGCCUCGGCGCGUAAAGCCCCGUCAGCAGGGAAGUAAAUGACGGCACCUGAAGAAGAAGCCCCGGCUAACUACGAGCCAGCAGCCGCGGUAAUACGGAGGGGGCAAGCGUUAUCCGGAUUUACUGGGUGUAAAGGGGGCGCAGACGGCGAUGCAAGCCAGUAGUGAAAGCGCGGGGCCCAACCCCGGGACUGCACUUGGAACUGGGUGGCUGGAGUGCAGGAGAGGCAGGCGGAAUUCGUGGUGUAGCGGUGAAAUGCGUAGAUAUCAGGAGGAACACCGGUUGCGAAGGCGGCCUGCUGGACUGCAACUGACGUUGAGGCCCGAAAGCGUGGGGAGCAAACAGGAUUAGAUACCCUUGUAGUC
rnacentral:rRNA from 1 species